UUACAGCUGAUGGAAAGGUAGAGAAAAACAUAUUGCUUGAUCAUAUAAAAGCUUUUCCUGGUGGUAAGUGUCAUGUCUCUAAAAUGGAAACUAUCCUGGAAAACAUGGGUUAUGAGCUGGAGGAUGAGGAAGUUGAGGACCUGCGGAACCGCCUGCCAACUGAGGAUGAAAAAGUUAAACUGAAUAUGCUCAUGGGAAAUGUAGAGUCAUUCAGAGGUGA